GUUUGUUCAUUGAUUUAAUGAAUAACCAUAAGAAUGCAUGAGUGAAAAACAUUGCUGGCAGUCCGAUCCGCCCGAACCAGAGGUUGGACCGUGAGGCCCUCUCCCUGGCAAGGCUUGCUCCGUUGCGCGAGGUUUCCCAAGCGAGGCUGCCAAAAUACGGUAAACGUUCACAAGGUGUGUGUGGUUGUGCUGGAAGCGCCAGGUUUCCCCGGCGUCCAAACAACAGAUUGGUAAUGAUCCAACCGCAGGUUCACCUACGGUUA
rnacentral:misc_RNA from 1 species